UGGCGUAUCUGACGCUUUAAUUUUUUAAAUCGUUUUUGGUUUGGUCUCGGUUUGUGAGCUAUUUUACGAUUUAGUAUCAAUUUGGAGCAACUUUUAGUUUGUGAAAAUAUUAGACGAUUAGGCAUUAAGAAACUGUUUCGAAUUCUCUUUAGACAUAACUUGGCUCCAAUACUUUUUCUUCGUUAUAGUUUCGUAUGCCUGUGUAUAUUGUUUUCAUUACUUACAGAAAGUUUAUUAUUAAUAGUCAGCAUGCCUCGAAGAUCGAGAAUGAAAUUUUAUUUCGGAUGCCUUGGUAACGACCAAAAUUAUGCAGCUCACAUCGAAAUUGAUCAGCCACAGUUGUUGAGUGGAAUUGUGCCGACUUCAAGUAUGAAUAAUAUGACAAAAAUUGAAAGUGUAUCAUACAGAAACAAAUGUUCGAUAAUGACAAAAUUUUAUGGAAAAAUUAUAAGGAGCACAUAAAAUGUCUGAAACAUGAAAAUUAAGAUUGAUGCACUAUAUUUGAAGCAGAAGGUUAUAAGAAGAACUGAUUCAGCAAGGAAUGUGAACUCACAAGGGAUCUUAAUUUUUUUUUAAAUAUGUUUAUAAUUUAUAAAUUAAUAAUUGAAAUAGUUCAUAUGAACUAAAUUGAUACCAAUUUUGUUUUAAAAUAGGUUGUUUAGUUCUUAUAGUUAUAGUAUAUUACAUUUGAAUAGUUGUUGUAAUUAGUAAGUUAGUAAUAUAUGAAAAUACUGAUAUAAAUUUUUGUAAAUAACCUUUUGUAAAUUCUACGAGAAGAUGAUUUUAAUUAAUGGUAAUUCAAAAGCAUUAUUGUGGAAUAUAUUAGCUAAGUCGUGUUUUCUGUAUGAGCAGAUAUAAACGAAAAUGCCCAAACAUGAUUACGUUUCUUACAUUUUCAUUCUGUGAAAUCAAUAUGCUUGUGACUGAGUAUAUUAAAAAUUUAUUAAAACUUAAGUGAUAGACAGCGACCCCUAUGGCACCGCUAAAGUUUAUAAGCACUGGUGACCACUUAUCACGAGCCGGGCUGCGUACUCGUCUGCCGUUGAGGGCAAUAAAAAUUUUCGAAACCCUUUCUUAGAUGUAAUAUUAAUGUACAUUUAAUUUGGAUUAAAAGAUAAAUUUACAUUUUAUGUUUGCAUGUGUAUGUUUAUAAUUCAUUUGCAUGUAACGAACAUCAGUUUCUUUUGUAACAAAAUUCAAACUAAUGGUUUGCAAUGAAUGUAAUUAACUUUAAGAUGAUUUUCUUUCAAUCUGCUGUUUGUUUCAUCUAGUAUUACCAAAGCUAAAGCGUCAGAAACGUCAGAUUAGAAAUAAAUUAGAAGGGAAAUAAAACUAUAACUAUUGUAAUCAUGUCUAAGAUUUCUAUAAGCGUCAUUAAGUACAAACUAUCAAUAUUUAAGAGUACUUUAAAUCAUUAUUACAUUUUUUAAACAUUUUUUUUUUUUUCAAAUUAUGUAACAAAACGUUUUGUGCAGAACAAAAUGUCACAUAUUAUGAACAAUUGUGGGUUAAUUGUUUCUUAAAUUUCUAAAUGUUUAUAAGAAUGCUAAGAAUAAUUUAGUAUUCACUUUAGUGUGUGUAUUAUCUCUACAAUGCUAGUUUAAAUGACAAUUAUUGUAUGACGAAGCAUAGGUAGUGUUUAUAGAUGUAAGAUUUUCGUACAAGGUCAUGAUCUGUCACGAUCAACUUUAAGCAAGAACUGCUAACGUUAAGAAACAAAUUUAUUAAAUUUAAUUCAAAUUGUCUACUAUGUUUGUAAUGGAAAGCUGACAUGUUUAUAUUUCGCACGAAUGACUUAAUUGAGAUGGAAUGAUUUGAUUAUCUAGACUUAUUUAACUUUUAGAUAACUUUCGAUUUAAUGUUAAUAAGUACGCUAGUAGGAUUAAUCUAGAGGAGUUAUUGUUAUUCGAAAUUUUAUACAAUUGUACGUUCAUACUAUCUUUUAACAGUAAAUUGUUUGUAAUAUAGGGAAAUUAAAUAGCUUACAGAGAA